rnacentral:rRNA from 1 species
CAGCAGCCGCGGGAAUCCGUAGGUGGCAAGCGUUGCCCGGAAUUAUUGGGCGUAAAGGGCUCGCAGGCAGUUUCUUAAGUCUGAUGUGAAAGCCCCCGGCUCAACCGGGGAGGGUCAUUGGAAACUGGGAAACUUGAGUGCAGAAGAGGAGAGUGGAAUUCCACGUGUAGCGGUGAAAUGCGUAGAGAUGUGGAGGAACACCAGUGGCGAAGGCGACUCUCUGGUCUGUAACUGACGCUGAGGAGCGAAAGCGUGGGGAGCGAACAGGAUUAGAUACCCGAGUAGUCCCUGUCUCUUAUAC